UUAUUGCAAAGUAUUGUAGUAUAUGUUGUUUAUAAGUAAGUAAUUUUAUUUCAAAAUAAAAAUACCUACCAACUAAUAAAUAUUAGCAAGUCAGCCCGUGAGUUUAGCUGGCUAUUACAAACUAAAAUCCUCAUAUUAGAAAUCACCGAUCGAUAUUAUAUUGUUUUCUCAGAUUAGUAAUACAAAUAACUUUGGACGGACAAACAUUAGUAUUAUUUGUCACAUUAUAUUGCGUCUGGUACAUGAAUCCCGCGCGUUCCGAAACACUCAAAAUCAGUUGAACGGACGGUAAAACAAGUAUCUUUAAAUUUCUAAUGUUAUAGUAAAUAGAGUAUAAUUAUAUAAUAUCAUUUUAUGAUUUUAUUAUGGUUGUUCUGCAGCGAUUUUUCAAUUGAUGUUAUAUCAUAAUUUGGGUAAGUAAAAUUUUAUUGCUAUAAUUUUUCUGAAUUUCGGAACGUAUUUAAUAAAUUCUGUUUUAUCUAUGGUAUGGAUAUUUACUUUGCAAUAAUUUUCAUGACAUGAGACUACAUUUUGCUGCAAUUACAAGCGAUUUGAUCUGGUUUUGUUAUAAUUUCGUUUCAAUUUUAUGCGAAUAGGUACUGAGUUUAUAAAAGUAACAUAAUAUUGUCUUGUACUUAUAUAAUUAGUUUUUGUGUAUUUCGGAUUCCGUUUACAUCUAGGUACCUACUAUGUCGGGGUCCUACGAGAAAGUUGGCGUAUCAAUGCCACGAAUAUUCAGGCGCCCGUAAAUCGUCAAAACGAGUGAAAAGCGCAUUCAGUUGGAUACAUGUGGACGACAAGAUAGUAAACCUGUAAAUUAUAACUCAAGUUGUGGCCAGCUUCAUUGUAAACAAACUUUAGUUUUCAAGUUCAAGGACAAAUGCGUGUCAGUAACAUGGAUAAAUGCUACUUCAUAUGUUUUAUUUCAGUCAAUGAACCUUUGACUGUUAUAGAAGUUUGUCGAGAUAAUAUAAUGACUUUAUCAGCAAUAUGAUGCCAAAGUUAAUACACUUUUUUAAAGAAUGUAUUCUGCCAGAAAUAGUUUUGAACAUGUUCAAAAAAAUGCGAAAUGUAUACCUAGGUAUGAAAGCAGCUGUGUAGCGGUAGUUUCCAGGCAAUAAUGAGGAAGGAUGAGCGAAAACAACACGACAAAUGUUUUUUUAUUGUACUAUUAUAGUAGUGUGUUUAGAAUCUACAUUAUCAAUGUUUACAGUCAUGUUUUUUUUGAUGUCAGAAAACUGAAAUGGUGUACUCGUCGUAAUGAACAUAAUGUUCAUAAUGUGAUAUGAAUACAUUGACCUAUUUUAAGGUUUCUGAAAAACAAAAAGGAAAGUUGUUGCUUUUUUAUUUCCUUAUGUAGUAUAGUGAUUAUGGAUGCUUAGAUAUUCUCAAACAUUUUUCCGCUUUGAUUGCAAUCUAUUAUUCUGGUUGCCUUGUUUAUGAAUUAUAGUUUUGAAUUAUUAUUUUGAAUGAGAUUAUUUUUUAAUAAUCAGUCACGUAUCAAGCAUUCAUGUCACAUAAAUACUUGUAAUAAUUGCAGGUUAGUAUAUACAUUCUAUUAAAUAAUGUAUAAGAUAAUAAAAUAAAACUGUCUUACAUUGCA